AGGGUAAUAGCCCAGUGAUAGAGCGCAUGCUUAGCAUGCAGAAGGUCCUGGGUUCAGUCCCCAGUUCCUCCA
rnacentral:tRNA from 1 species